CGUGUGGAUAUAGGGCUAAAUUUGAAAUAUUCAUUGUCUCUGUGAAUUGAAAUUAUAUUGUUGCCCACCAGUGCACCCAGAAGAGGAAACAACGAUACAAUGUAGUCUAACAACAUCUCUCUCAAACAGCACAGAUGUGAUUCACUGUAGAAGCACUGGUCCUCUUACAUGUUAAUUCCAGGUUGCAUAUUACAAUAUUUAGGGGCAUAUCAGAUGGUCUGUUCUGCCCAUAACAGUCACACCAAGCAUAGGGUUGGUUGAUAUAAGAUUGAAAUGGGUAAAUAAUGUACCCAUGAAAACCCUAUGAAACAGCUCCCCAAUACCAUCUGAUGUAUAUAUUUAAUGUAUUACAUGAAUGGUGACCACAACCCUUCCAACAAUACAUUUAAAUCAUGUUUUACUGUGAUUGUUCCACCCUGCUGAAUGUAUUCAAUGUAUUCCAUUUCAAAUGUGUCUCCCAGUGCAGCUUUACUUCCAGGCUAUUAUGACACAUCUGGCAGUUUCUUCUAUGUUUCUAGGCCCAGUACAAUGGAAAACAUACGUUUGGUCACUACCAUUCCACAAAAUACCACGCUUUAUUUUUUAAAAUUGUACUACAAUCUUACAUUUUAGUAUGGGCUGUUCUUCACAUUGGGGUGCUGCUGCAGGUUCUCUGCGUCUCUUGACCAUGUCAGGCAGGCCGGGCACAAAGCUCAAGACGCCUCUCUCUUAUUUAUCAAGCUGAUAACACAUCUCUCCCGACAGACACAAGCAAAACCUCUUGCAUAAAUGUAGCAGCCUAAACACCUAAUCAUUAGUGAUCUGACAUGCUCUAUUACAUGGAAACUGUAGGCUACUAACAGCAGCAGCUACAUAGUCUAGUUUACUAUGGUCCUGUCCCUCUGACCAGGGUAAACAAAGUGGUAAUGUUGUGUUUAUACAGUAUGUCACUUCAAACAUUAAAUUAGAAUUAUAAUUUAAUUAUACACGAGAAAAAAAAAGUGGUGGCCCAUCGGGGUGGCAGGGUAGCCUAGUGGUUAGAGUGUAGAGGAGGCAGGUAGCCUAGUGGUUAGAGUGUAAAGGAGGCAGGUAGCCUAGUGGUUAGAGUGUAAAGGAGGCAGGUAGCCUAGUGGUUAGAGUGUAAAGGAGGCAGGUAGCCUAGUGGUUAGAGUGUAAAGGAGGCAGGUAGCCUAGUGGUUAGAGUGUAAAGGAGGCAGGUAGCCUAGUGGUUAGAGUGUAAAGGAGGCAGGUAGCCUAGUGGUUAGAGUGUAAAGGAGGCAGGUAGCCUAGUGGUUAGAGUGUAAAGGAGGCAGGUAGCCUAGUGGUUAGAGUGUAAAGGAGGCAGGUAGCCUAGUGGUUAGAGCGUUGGACUAGUAACCGAAAGGUUGUAAGAUCAAAUCCCCAAGCUGACAAGGUAAAAAUCUGUUGUUCUCCCCCUGAAUAAGGCAGUUAACCCAGUGUUCCAAGGCCGUCAUUGAAAAUGAG